CCUGAGUAUGCUCAGCUGCUGUUCAAGCUACAGAGUGCUACGGCCAUAAAUAAAUGAAGAUCUCCUCUAAAAACAACAAGCACUGGACCACCACAUUACAGGAAAACUUCAUUUUAAAGGUAACUUGGGCUCGAACAAGCAAUCCUGAACUGAAUCUUAGCAGGCGCUGACCAGUUUUCAAGAGCGGGGUAUGACAGGACUGUGACUGCUAGUUUUCAAUGUUUGUCUGCCAUCGAUGUAAAUAUUUCGGGCUUUAUUUGAAGGAAGCGCUUACCAGUUUCAACAAGCUCCCACCAGACCCGAAGGUCUUG